CACGUGAUCGUCGCGAGCCCUAAAAUUUUGUCUGGGGUGGAUAUAUAUAAUGAAGGAACUGAAAAUAUUCCCAUGACGUGGGUAGUAUAGGCUACAAUCAUGGCUAAAGCGGCAGCGAUACAGAUAUCAUCGUUUGUAAUCAACGCAGACACCCUACAAUUGGGCCGUGAAAAUACAAUCGUAUCUCAAGAAUCACAACGUAACUCAGAAGCCAUCGAUGAUCUGAGGCAAGGCUAUGGAGAACUGGAUGGCAGAAUGAAAGAGUUGGAAGACGUCCAGGAAGAUGAAACCCAGCAUGCUUUAAGAAAAAUGGUUACCAUGGAAAAUAAUAUACAAAAUCUGACUUGUAAAAUGGAGAAUAUGACAAAAGGGAUGAAACGCUUGGAAAUAGCACACAGAAGUCUAAAACGUCAAUUUAAAUCACAAAAAUCAAAAAAUGUGAAGAAUAAUUGGACGACAAAGAAUGCCAACAAUGGUGACCGUUUGUCGUUUCCCAGAAGUAGAGAAAUUGGAGAGACUAUAGAAGUUUCGGAGAAUGGCAGGAUGGAAGAAGUUGACCAGACGACUAUAAACUCCAAACAGAUUCGACUUUUAAUAGAAAAUUGGGAUGUCAAUCAGGACGAGAAAACAAACAUUGUAGUUGAUGAAAAGAUUAGUCUGAUGGAAGUCUGCGGGGUGAUGAGGAAUUUGGUUGGUCGCGAUCUGCACAUAUGCUGUAUCUUUAGGAAGCUGAGAGGACCGAUUUAUCCUAAAGAUUUUAACCAAUGGAGACCAAUCAGUUAUUACCAUAUAACCAACGAUGAUGUGAUUCUUUUUAAGUGUAAAACCUUUAACAAUGAUUAACCCGCUAAACAUCAAACCUUUUGAAUUUGGCGGAAACCUGAUUAAAACCUGAUUCUAUUUCGUUUCGUUUUUUAUAGUUCAAAAUUACGUUUUAUUUGUAUGUACUACACUAGGACGUGGAAGAGUUGUUAUAUAAUCUGUGUUCUGGAUGUCGUAAGGAUAUGCCAAUGAAAUCAUCUGUUACGGCGACUUCUUGGUGCGCAAUGUACGGAACUGUGGGUAAACCACCAGAAACGUCAACGCUGAUUGAUUAAUCAAUGUCUGACGUCAUAGGAUACGACCCCUGACGCGCCCUCCCAAUACAGCUGGUCAGAUAUUCAUGUAGAGUAGGCCAUCGAAAGUAUAAAAAAAUGAAACGAAAUAUAGAUCUGUAUUUUAAUCAGAUUAAAUAUAGGAACCACAAAAAAAGAUACAGCUGCUGUUGUAAUAAACGUUUAUCACCCGAUUUCAUUUAAUUCAACCGCGUUAAUGCCCAUGUUAUCACAUUCCAUAUAUUUUCCGGCUUUAUGGGGAUGUGCGAAACGGAAAUCGUGGGGGGUGGGGGGUGGAUGUAUUACUGUAUAUGUAUAUUCUGAGACCGGCCCUGCCCGAUUGUCAUACUGGUGAAGGUUGUAUUAUUUUUAUUUUUAAAAUGGCAAUAUGUUUCAUUAUAUAUAUAUCUAUCUUUUUAGAAAAAGGAGGACAGAGUUAUUUUUGUAAUUUAAUGGUUUACCAAUAUAUUUAUAGUUUAAACAUACUUUUUUAAGAGCUAAAUCUGUCUAUUGCAGAUAUUAAGUGUUAUCUAAAUUAUUAAUAAGACAUUAAUUAACUUAUCUAGACCAAAAUCAACUCUCGAUGACAUCGCCAGUCUGCAAUAUUUAGUGGAUUAGAAUACAGUUUGUGAUGGAUAAUUUAAUGUAAAUAUGGAUAAUCGAGACUGUUUAUUAUCGUUCCAACGUUAGUAAUGACGAUGGAGGCUAGCUUAAAAUUGAAUCGCUAAUGUCUUGGUUCAGAGUGAAUCAAUUUGACUGAAAUUUUCAACAUAUUCUAUAUACAACCUAGUUUUUUAACUAUUAUAACGAGAACUGUUAGCUUUUUAUCUAAUCUUACCUGAUGUUAGUAUAUAACUUAUUACUUAGACAUUAAUUUAUUCAUAUGACAAGCCUAUAAUCAAUUCUCUAGAUCAUCGGAUGGCCGAGAUUGAAAUGGAUUUGAACACCCGUGAGAUUUAAAAUGUUAACUUUAAAAAGAAUAAUCUAGGCUUAGGCUUGGUUGUCAAUAAAGUACCGUUGCUACGAUAAUAAACGGUCUAGGCAAAAUAUUUAAAUAUAAAUAACUUCGCUCAGAAUAAAGGAUUUUGAAAUACA